rnacentral:rRNA from 1 species
CUCCGUAGGUGAACCUGCGGAGGGAUCAUUACUGAGUUUUUAACUCUCCAAACCAUGUGAACUUACCACUGUUGCCUCGGUGGUUUGGUCUUCGGACUGACCACCGGCGGACCACUAAACUCUUGUUAAUUUAUGGCAUUCUGAAUCAUAACUAAGAAAUAAGUUAAAACUUUCAACAACGGAUCUCUUGGUUCUGGCAUCGAUGAAGAACGCAGCGAAAUGCGAUAAGUAAUGUGAAUUGCAGAAUUCAGUGAAUCAUCGAAUCUUUGAACGCACAUUGCGCCCAUUAGUAUUCUAGUGGGCAUGCCUGUUCGAGCGUCAUUUCAACCCUUAAGCCUAGCUUAGUGUUGGGAGACUGCCUAAUACGCAGCUCCUCAAAACCAGUGGCGGAGUCUGUUCGUGCUCUGAGCGUAGUAAUUCUUUAUCUCGCUUCUGUAAGCCGGUCAGACGACAGCCAUAAACCGCACCCUUCGGGGGCACUUUUUUAAUGGUUGACCUCGGAUCAGGUAGGAAUACCCGCUGAACUUAAGCAUAUCAAUAAGCGGA